GCACAUUUUCUUGCCUUAGAAGGCAGACUUGAAGAGGUAAAAUUCCAGAAAAACACAAACGGAUAAAAACUGGAUGAGAACACUGUUUCAUGGAGCUUUUUUUACUUAAAAUUUUGAGAUCCUCAAUUUGCUGAAUCAAUUUAUGCUUUAUUUGGUUGUGAAAUGGGUUGAGAUCGAGACUGGUUUGAAGAUUUCUGGUUUAUUGUUUGACUGAAGUUGGUUUCUAUACCACUGUACCUCAUUGUUGGGUUCUAAAAUUGGUUUUCUGGUUCAUUUCUUGUUGCUGGGUUCCACUGCUGUUGUUGUUUCUUGCUUUCACCUCUUUUCCUUUUGGCAAUUUCCAGGUAUAUCUUCAAAACUUGUCAUGGAAUUGAAUAUUGACUAGCAUGUAUGAAGAUCUGGAAACUCAAGUUGAAGUUUAAAUGGAGACAUUAAAAUUUUGAUGUAAUUACUGUUAAUUACUACCAUUAUGUGUAAUUAAAUGCUUCAGUUUUGUGGUAAUUCAGUUUCUGGUUCAUGUUGGGUUGCUGAUUCAUGCCAAUAGCUUAGGGUGGCUUAGUUAUUUAGAUUAAGUGUGUAAUUUCAGAGUAUGGAGUAUUGUGAUAGUGUUUAAAUUCUAUUCGUAUAAAUGAACUGUUAAAUAUUUUGUAAGGGAAAACUACUUAAAGGUGUCAUUAGUUUUCUUGGUUUGAAAUCGAGGCUUGUUGUAUUGAGUGGUGUCCAUGAUCCUGCUUGGUACUUUGAAAAGUAUCACAGUAUUGCGUUUAGUUAAAAAGCUUUUUAAUGGUCUGUGAUUAGUUCCAAUCCCAUAUGCUUGUUUGUGGGAAGUUAGUUUAAGAAAAAUUAGAAUACAAGCAUGAGCAUUUCGUUAAUUAUGGCAUCAGCAUGGUUUCAGUAAAGAGGGUAAUAAGUUACAUGUUCUUGGGCUUGUCUCAUGAGCCCAAUAACUUGGGUUGUUAUCGUGAGGCCCUUCACUUAGUAAAUUUGAAUCAAAAAUGCAGGCUGAGAUAAAAUUGCAAGUUCAUGUUAAUAACUUGUGCUUGAAUAUUAAAAUUUAGAGGUGAAAUCAUUAAUACAAUGGCAUGUCUCAAUUAGACUUGCAUUCUGAUGAUGUUUAUGCCAUCGAUGGUUUUGUGUGUCUGAAAUCUGUGCUUAAGUAAGCCCAGCAAGGGAACAUCCUUUGACUUGUUUGGACGUCUUGCAAUCUUAAUGUAUGCUCUUUCGGAGAUUGGGGGUUCCCUUGGGCCUAAACCAGAAGACAUGGACCAGUGGGGUUAUAUGCUCUGGCGUUCUGGACUCUUAGUUUUGCAGUUGACCCUUAGGCCUCAAUCUAGACCCAAGCAUUGAAUGAUGAAUUAUAGAUAGCUUUAUAAUUAAUAAGUUGGGUUUGAGAAUUGACUUAAAAGUAGCCAUAGAUUCUUCAAAUUUCAUUUGGUUAAUCUAGUUAGUGGAGGUGUGCCAUAUUAAACAAGAAUAGCUUAUGACCCUCAUGUAUUAAUUUAGAAAUGCUCUAAUUAGAGUAAGCUGAGGUGCGCCAUGCCAAACAAAAAUGACAAUUGCAUGGCCCUCAUCCAAUUAAUUUUGUUUAUCCUUAGAACUCGAGGCGUGCCAUUUAGUGAAUUUCAUGACCCUCGCAAAGUUGCAAACAUGAAAUUGCUUUAGGCGCGUUAGUUUAAUAAUAUUACUUUCCUAAAUUAGGAUGCGCAUUUAUGUGACCCAAAUCCAAAUCACAACGAUGUUAAAAUAUGUCAAAGAUCGCGGGUGUAUUUAUAUGACGUGGUUUGAGACGUGUUUCAAUGACGUUGCAAUUUUCUCUAAAAAAUGAAUAAAAGCGGUUAAAAAGUUAAAAUUUGCGUAGGUUCAUAAUUGUUUAAAAUCAUAUAAUUAAGCCAAUAAUAACAGUUGGGCGACCGUGCUAGAACCACGGAACUCGGGAAUACCUAACACUUUCUCCCGAGUUAACAGAAUUUCUUACCCGGAUUUCUGGUUCGCGGACUAUAAUACAGAGUCAACCUUUUUCUCCACUCGGGAUUUGAACCGGUGACUUAGGGCACUGUAAAUUAUCCCAAGUGGCGACUCUGAAUCUUUUAAUAAAAUAAUCCCGUUUCGAUUGUCACUUUAAGUUGGAAAAACUCCCUUAUACACCUUUUUCCGGGGGUGUAGGCAAAAAGGAGGUGUGACACCCUCUUGGAUAGAUUUGAGGAUUUGAGGGUCGAAAUGUUAUCGAAUAUAGUAAUUUUGGUAUGACUAGACUCGUGGUUGAAUGGGUUGUCGGAUUUUGUGAGUUUCGUCGGAUUUCGAGACGUGGGCCCCACGGGCGAUUUUGAGUUAAAUUUCGGAUUUUGUUGGAAAAUUAGUAUUUUCUUAUGGAAUUAGUUCCUAUAAUUAGUAUUUACUGAAUUGAAUUAACUGUGGCUAGAUUGGGUCGAUUGGAGGCCAAUUCAAGGGGCAAAGGCAUUUCGGAGU
rnacentral:lncRNA from 1 species